rnacentral:rRNA from 1 species
UACGGGGGGGGCAAGCGUUGUUCGGAAUUACUGGGCGUAAAGGGCUCGUAGGUGGCCAACUAAGUCAGACGUGAAAUCCCUCGGCUUAACCGGGGAACUGCGUCUGAUACUGGAUGGCUUGAGUUUGGGAGAGGGACGCGGAAUUCCAGGUGUAGCGGUGAAAUGCGUAGAUAUCAAGAGGAACACCUGAGGUGAAGACGGGUUGCUGGGCUGACACUGACGCUGAGGCGCGAAAGCCAGGGGAGCAAACGGG